AGUCGCUGCAGCGACGGUGGGCAUACCAGGCUCAUCGUACGGCCGUCGAUACACCAAUCGACGGCCCUCUCCCCCGCGCAUACCUGGCUGCAGCGGCUGACUUUUUCUCCAGGGGCGGUC
rnacentral:ncRNA from 1 species